ensembl:lncRNA
GGGUUUGAUCCCUGGCCUUGCUCAGUGGGUUAAGGAUCCGGUGUUGCCUUGAACUGUGGUGUAGGUCAGAGUUGUGGCUUGCAUCAUGCAUUGCUUUGGCUGUGGCCUAGGCUGGCAGCUGCAGCUCCAUUUCGAGCCCUAACCUGGGAACCUCCAUAUGCCUUGCGUGCGGCCCUAAAACGAACAAGAAAAAAAAAAUCACUUAGGAGGAUUAUAUAGAGCUGUACAGAUAUCAUGAACAGUUAUGUCCCCACCAACCAAGGGAAUAAAUAUUGACAUUUUUUAUAAUCAACAAUUUUUAUUAGCAUUAAAAGAUACAUAUAUAUUUUAUGGCUGCACCUGUAGCAUAUGGAUGUUCCCAGGCCAGGGAUUGAACGCCAGAUCCUUUAACCCACUGCACCGGGCAAGGGAUCAAACCCUCCCCUCGGCAGUGACGAGAGUUAAGUGGGUUAAGACCCAAUGGGCCACAGUGGAAAUGCCUAAAAAUAUUUUAAUCUAACGACACCCUGUGAGUUAUAGGUGGGUUUUAAAGCUUGUUUGUGCUCGAAAUAAAAGAUAUAAAACAUUUACAUCUUCCUCAUCUCACCCCUUGACCUUCCUCGAAGCCCUGAGGUGACCCAGCCAUGGAUACGCGCCCUGUGUGCCCCAGCGUGGGUGGGUGGGUGGAGUGUUCCCUGGUGUCUGACAGCACCAGGCCGUGGAGGAUGUGAGCACAGGGCGGGGAGGGUGGACUCUGGCAGACCAGAGACGGAGACCUGCCUCUACCACUUCUGCCUGGUGUCCUUUGGCCUUUUCGAGUCUCAGUUUUCCCAUCUGUAACCUGGCAAUGAUUCGUUCACAGCAUUGUAAACAUGGGGAUGAGGGUAAAAGGGCUGGCCAGAAGCUGUGACUAAUCUUAUUUAGCCGUUUAUGCUUUCAUCUCUUGUUUUUUCUUUUCUUUUUUCCUUUUUAAUGACCACAGGUGUGGCAUAUGAAAGUUUCCAGGCUAGGGGUCCAAUCGGAGCUACACCUGCCUUCCUACACCACAGCCACAGCCACGCAGGAUCCAAGCCUCGUCUGAGACCUACCCCACAGCUCGAGGCAAGGGCAGAUCCUUAACCCACUGAGCGAGGCCAGGGAUCGAACCCGAAUCCUCAUGGAUACUAGUUGGUUUUGUUUCUGCUGAGCCUCUUGUUUUUUUCCUAGAUAGAGAACCUGUGAGGAGUUCCCUUCAUGGCUCAGUGGUUUACAAACCCGAUUAGCAUCCAUGAGAUGCAGGUUCGAUCCCUGACCUCACUCAGAGGGUUAAGAUCCAGCGUUGCGGUGAGCUGUGGUGUAGGCCAGCAGCUAUAGCUCUGUGAUUCGCCCCGUCUGGGAACUUCCAUAUGCUGUGGGUGUGGCCCUAAAAAGCAAUAAAUAAAUAAAUAAAUCUCAGGAGUUCCUGUCGUGUCGCAGUGGUUAACAGAAUCCGAUGAGGAACCUUGAGGUUGUGGGUUCGAUCCUUGGCCUUGCUCAGUGGGUUAAGGAUCCAGUGUUGCCGUGAGCUGUGGUGUAGUUUGCAGGUGUGGCUCGGAUCCUGUGUUGCUGUGGCUCUGGUAUAGGCUGGUGGCUACAGCUCUGAUUAGAUCCCUAGCCUGGGAACUCCACAUGCCAUGGGAGCGGCCCUAGAAAAGGCAAAAAGACAAAACAAACAAACAACCUUUGAGAGCAGAGCCCCUGCCCCUAGCCUGUGUUAAACACCCUUUGUAUUAUUUUCAGAGCCUCCUAGCUCAGUGUAGAAGUUUAUUCAUUGUUUCUUGAAGAAAUGCUUGAAAUGCCCUGCUCCCAGCCUUGGUUCAGAGAGACAUGUAGGGGCUGGUGCAACAGUAGCUGUGUUCUCAGGACACCCAGGUGACACUGAGGUAGACUAGCUGAGGACACAUCAGGUUCUGCUGUCAUCUCAAAUCCCACACAGUGCAGAGUUCCCGUUGUGGCUCAGUGGAAAUGAAUCUGACUAGUAUCCAUGAAGACACAGGUUUGAUCCCUGUCCUUGCUCAGUGGGUUAAGGAUCUGGCAUUGCUGUGAGCUGUGGUGUAGGUCGCAGAUGCAGGUCAGAUCGGGCCUUGCUGUGGCUGUGGCCGGCAGCUGCAGCUCCAAUUCGACCCCUAGCUGGGAACUUCCAUAUGCUAUGAGUGCAGCCCUAAAAAAAAAAAAAAAAAAUCACACACAAUUCAAUUCGAUGGCAAGGGACUAGGAGAUGCUGCCUCACUGCCCUUGAUUUUCUUAACACUUGUGCAUUUUACACUGUUGAUGUUUCAGGUGCGUCUUUGCAGCCUGUGCCCUCAGGCACGCUCAUUUUGCAGGGAUCCUCAGUCACUGUUGGGGUGUCGUCUCUGGCAGAACAUGGGAAACAGACACAGGACAUAGAGACCAAAGGACUCAGGCACAGGCAGGAAGGGGACAGCAGGGGGCACCAAACCCGCACACUUCUGCGGGGAGAUGGCGCCUGGACAGGGCCUCCAGCUCGUGUUUUAUGUCUCUUUGCCUUCUCUUUCCUGGGACUUGAUCAUUUCAUUUUAGCCAGAGUUAGAUUCUACAGCAGAACAGCAGGGAAUGUUCUUUGUUAAAAGGACAAAGCAUCCCCUCCCCUUUUCUGGAAGAAGAAACAAAAAGCUGCCCGAGAUAGGAGGAAUUCCCAGGAGGGUCCCGUGGGGGUCUUGGGCUCAGAGAUCAAGGGCCCUGCCUCCAACCCACAGAAGCUGUCAUCACAAAGAGCCAGGUCCUUCAUCAUCCUUUGAUUUGCAUUUUUUCAUCUUAAAUCACGAGCCAGAGUUCCUUGUUUCCAAGUGCUAUGGACUGGAUGUGUGCGUCCCCCUAAAUUUAUAUGUUUACAUGUUACCCCUAAUGUGAUGCUAGGAAGAGGCGGAGCCUUUGGGAGGUGAUUAGUGAAUGGAAUGGAAUUCCCUAGUGAAUGGAAUUUGUGCCUGUAUAAAAAGAAGCUCCAGGAGUUCCGUCGAGGCUCAGUGGUUAACGAACCCGACUAGUAUCCAUGAGGAUACAGGUUCAAUCCCUGGCCUUGCUCAGUGGGUUAAGGAUCCAGCAUUGCUGUGAGCGUGGUGUAGGUUGCAGACAUGGCU